AUAUCGAGGAUAUCUUAAUGGGAUUUAUUCGUAGAUUAAUUCAUAUAUUUUUCUCAGCCUCUAAUUUCUUGGCUAGUAUAGUUACAGCUAACAACAAGUAAUCUCUUGGAUCAGCUAUCAGAAGGUCCGUUCAUUAUCUCUGCGAGCUAACGUGAAAUUGGACUCUAUACUAUUGGAUUUGAAGCUGUACUUCGCUUUGUUGAUGAACGGCGGAGGGGGGGUCGGGUUCACCUAGCUUACAAUUAGCAAAUAAUAAUCUUGACCUAGGGCCGUCAUACCUCAGUCGUUCUCCCUCUUUCGUCCGGAGAUGUUGUCGCCGCCGACGUCGCUGUUUCCGCUGCUGUGACCGUACCAUUACCGCUGCCUCAGAGGUCCCCAAUACAGGCGCCUUACUGCUCGACGAUGCAACUUCAGCGUUAUAAUAUCCGAUGGUGUUUGGAUGUUGAUUAUCUGAAAUCAAAGAUGAGAAGAAGGAUCAGUCUUUGAAGAAUAAAGGAACAGAAAAAAAGUGUCGUUUGACGUUGCAACCGCUAUCACAUUUCGACCUCCUUGAUUAACGGAGGCGUCAAAAAGUGCCAGCCUUUGGACCACGGGCUUUUCGCUUGGGUCGAACUUCCAUCGGUGAACCAUCGGAACCAAUGUAUCGCGAUUUCCACCGCAAAUUAUGUGACAGCCCUCAUAUUCGAGCCAAAUGCCAAUAUCUGUUGUGAGCACCAGAGUUUUGCAGCCAAAAUCGAAAGCAUCAAUUAUUUCACGUCUGUUGACAUCGUCAAGAAUGAGGAGAGCAUUUUUGUGUUGAGAAAAGUGACGUUUUAAGGAAUACUUCAAAG